AGUGAACGCUGGCGGUAGGCCUAACACAUGCAAGUCGAACGGCAGCACAGUAAGAGCUUGCUCUUACGGGUGGCGAGUGGCGGACGGGUGAGGAAUAAAUCGGAAUCUACUUUUUCGUGGGGGAUAACGUAGGGAAACUUACGCUAAUACCGCAUACGACCUACGGGUGAAAGCAGGGGCUCUUCGGACCUUGCGCGAUUGAAUGAGCCGAUGUCGGAUUAGCUAGUUGGCGGGGUAAAGGCCCACCAAGGCGACGAUCCGUAGCUGGUCGGAGAGGAUGAUCAGCCCCACUGGAACUGGGACACGGUCCAGACUCCUACGGGAGGGAGCAGUGGGGAAUUUUGGACAAUGGGCGCAGACCUGAUCCAGCCAUACCGCGUGGGUGAAGAAGGCCUUCGGGUUGUAAAGCCCUUUUGUUGGGAAAGAAAAGCAGCAGGUUAAUACCCCGCUGUUCUGACGGUACCCAAAGAAUAAGCACGGGCUAACUUCGUG
rnacentral:rRNA from 1 species